GCCAUAAUCACUCAGGACUGAUAGAUUGAGAGCUCUUUUUCAAUUCCAUGGGUGGUUGUGCAUGGCUGUUCUUAAUUAAUGGAGUGAUUUGUCUGGUUAGUUCUUAUAACAAAUGAGAUUCUGGCAUGUUAGCUAGUUAUGUAACCCCAAUUUUCUGCCGGAUCCUGCACUUGGGUUACAGCAACCCUUGCAAUGCUACAGGCUUGAGGAAAAGUGGCUAGAAAGCUGCCUGGUGAAAAAGGGCCUGAGGGGCCAACAGCCAACUGAGCCAUCAGUGUGUCCUUGCAGCCAGAAGC
rnacentral:ncRNA from 1 species